rnacentral:rRNA from 1 species
AGAGUUUGAUCAUGGCUCAGGACGAACGCUGGCGGCAUGCCUUACACAUGCAAGUCGAACGGACCUAGCAAUAGGUUAGUGGCGAACGGGUGAGUAAUACAUGAGCAACCUGCCUCAAACAGGGGGAUAACACCGGGGAAAACUGGUGCUAAUACCGCAUAAGACCACAGCGCGGCAUUCGCGCAGGGGUAAAAACGAUUCAGUGGUUUAGAAGAUGGGCUCAUGUCCCAUUAGCUAGUUGGUGAGA